rnacentral:rRNA from 1 species
GACGAACGCUGGCGGCGUGCCUAAUACAUGCAGGUUGAGCGCUGAAGGUUGGUACUUGUACCGACUGGAUGAGCAGCGCACGGGUGAGUAACGCGUGGGGAAUCUGCCUUUGAGCGGGGGACAACAUUUGGAAACGAAUGCUAAUACCGCAUAAAAACUUUAAACACAAGUUUUAAGUUUGAAAGAUGCAAUUGCAUCACUCAAAGAUGAUCCCGCGUUGUAUUAGCUAGUUGGUGAGGUAAAGGCUCACCAAGGCGAUGAUACAUAGCCGACCUGAGAGGGUGAUCGGCCACAUUGGGACUGAGACACGGCCCAAACUCCUACGGGAGGCAGCAGUAGGGAAUCUUCGGCAAGAGACGAAAGUCUGACCGAGCAACGCCGCGUGAGUGAAGAAGGUUGUCGGGUCGUAAAACUCUGUUGGUAGAGAAGAACGUUGGUGAGAGUGGAAAGCUCAUCAAGUGACGGUAACUACCCAGAAAGGGACGGCUAACUACGUG